CUUGCCCACUCCACUGCAGGAGGAAGACGUGGCUGAGGGGCAGAAAGAUCCAGAAAGACCAUCUAGGACUGGCCUGUGGUCACCCUGGUAGCCACGUGGAGCCUGCGGGAGUUCUGAGCCUGUGAGCCACAGUGCACUCGAAACUGGACUAAGCCAGAGGCAAAACCCUCCGGCCCCUCCAGGGGCGGGACAGUCAUUUAAAUGAGGCUCUGGCCUUUCCUUACACACCCCUGGACACAGGGAGCUCAUCACCUUAGGCAUUCUGGAACAAUUCUGACAACACUUCCUUCUGCAGAAAGCAGG